UCGUGCUAAGCGGGAGGCUGGCGGUCUCCUCUUCCCGAAAUCCGCCGAUGCGGGGCUGAAGGACAGGCGCGGCGGUAAGUAAAGGGUGCGCGCAAAAAGGAUGUAGGCGAUGAAGGUUGGGUCUGACAAUAAUCCUUCUCCUGAACCCCGCCAGGACCGGAAGGUAGCAACGGUAAAGGAAGGAGGGUUAGUUGUCAGGUCGCCUGACCCGAGCCGAACCCUCUUUGCCCCCCUUUAUUUGCCGACAACCCUGUCGCACGA
rnacentral:SRP_RNA from 1 species